AUUGAACGCUGGCGGCAUGCCAACACAUGCAAGUCGCACGCGAAAGGGGGCAACCCUGAGUAGAGUGGCGGACGGGUGAGUAACGCGUAGGAAUCUACCUGGUAGUGGGGGACAACCCGGUGAAAACCGGGCUAAUACCGCAUACGAUCCACGGAUGAAAGCAGGGGACCGCAAGGCCUUGCGCUAUCAGAUGAGCCUGCGUCGGAUUAGCUAGUUGGUGAGGUAAAGGCUCACCAAGGCAACGAUCCGUAGCUGGUUUGAGAGAACGACCAGCCAAACUGGGGAUGAGACACGGCCCAGACUCCUACGGGAGGCAGCAGUGGGGAAUAUUGGACAAUGGGGGCAACCCUGAUCCAGCAGUGCCGCGUGUGGGAAGAAGGCCUUCGGGUUGUAAAGCACUUUCGGUGGGGACAAACAAGGUGGAGCUAACAUCUCCGCCUCUGAUGGUACCCAAAGAAGAAGCACCGGCUAACUCUGUGCCAGCAGCCGCAGUAA
rnacentral:rRNA from 1 species